rnacentral:snoRNA from 2 species
UACUUCUUAGUAUUACACCUGGAGAGUUUCCAGUACUCUAUCAGUCUUGGCUAUGGGAGGCAGAGUCAAGCAGAGACCUACGCAUUCCAUUCCUAGCUUGGGCAGUGGCUAGAGAGUGGAAGGCAAUCUGCUACAAAU